rnacentral:rRNA from 1 species
UACGAAGGGGGCUAGCGUUGCUCGGAAUUACUGGGCGUAAAGGGCGCGUAGGCGGAUAUCUAAGUUGGGGGUGAAAUCCCGGGGCUCAACCUCGGAAUUGCCUUCAAAACUGGGUAUCUUGAGUUCGGGAGAGGUGAGUGGAACUCCGAGUGUAGAGGUGAAAUUCGUAGAUAUUCGGAAGAACACCCGUGGCGAAGGCGACUCCCUGGCCCGAUUCUGACGCUGAGGCGCGAAAGCGUGGGGAGCAAACAGG